AACAGUGACGCCGCGGCGUGGAGAAAUGUGACUAUAACCUAACCUUUUCUUAUUCUUUACUAUCACCAACUGGUGAUGGUGCCGGCAGCUCUCGCUGGUCCCCAACAGAGAGUUUGUUUACCGCGACGUCUUUAUUUUUAUGU
rnacentral:telomerase_RNA from 1 species